ACCGCAGUAGCUCAGUGGUAGUGCUAUCGGCUGUUAACCGAUCGGUCGUAGGUUCGAGUCCUACCUGCGGAGCCA
rnacentral:tRNA from 1 species